rnacentral:misc_RNA from 1 species
GGAUAGGGGAUGAAACCGGGAAUGUGGCCUUAAGUUCAUUAUGCUCUUGCCAGUGGACUAAAGUUAGUGGGGCAACAAUGAAAGAGUUGAGACUUAUUGGGCUUUGCAAUUUCAUUUAUGAGAUAAUUUCAAAAUUGCUUACAAGGACACUUCAGCCGAUUAUGCACUCCCAUAUUAGCAUGGAGCAAAGUAAGGUAGAUUGAUUUCCGAUAACAUCUUACUUUGUCAUGAAAUCAUGCACUAUAUAAAAGUCAGCAUAAAGGUCGAAAAGGGAAUAUGACAAUCAAACUUGACAUCAGUAAGGCCUAUGAUAUGGUAGAAUGGAAUUACCUUCAUCGCAUGCUCAAUUGCUUUGGUUUCAACUCUGUCUGGACUAAAUGGAUCAUGGAGUCUGUAUCGACUGUGACAUAAUCGCUUCAAAUCAAUAGUAACAAAGUCGGUUUCAUUACUCCUUCAAGAAGUUAAGGCAAGAUGACCCUCUUUCCCCUUAUCCCUUCCUGUUUUGUGUAGAAGGGUUAUCACAUAUGCUUAAAAACUCUCGCUUGUGAGGCAUCAAAAUUGCCAAGAGGGCACCAGCAGCCUCUCACCUCCUGUUAACAGAUGACUCCAUUUUCUUCUCCAAAGCUUAUACUACAGAUGCAGAGAUGACCAAACAAGUCCUUCACCAGUAUUCAGAGGCUAGUGGACAAUUGGUAAAUUUGGCCAAGUCCUCAAUUAUUUUCAGCAACAAUACGCCAAGAAAGACUCGUUUGGCCAUCUCAGCAAUCUUGCAGGUUAAAAUCAUGUUGGGUCAAGAGAGAUUUCUAGGUCUGCCAACUAGUUUUCCUAGAUCCAAGAAGUAGCUUUUCUCGCACAUCAUAGACAAAGUUCAUCAUAAGAUAUCAGGUUGAAAGGAGCAACUACUAUCUAUAGGGGUAAAGAGGUUCUGCUUAAAGCAGUUGCUACUGCCUUGCCAGUGUAUGCCAUGGCAUGCUUUAGAAUGCCAGAGUCUUUAUGCCAGGAUAUUAAUAUAAUGAUGGUAAACUUCUGCUUCUGGGACCAAACAAAGGAGGAGACGAAGCUGUGCUGGAUUGCAUGGAGACACUUAUGUGGACCAAAAAUUCAAGGAUUACUAGGAUUCAAAGACAUAAAUGCCUUCAAUAUGGCAUUCCUUGCCAAGCAGGGGUGGAGAAUUCUAAAUAACCCGCAUUCUUUAUUAGCGCGGGUGCUCAAAGGGAAAUAUUUUCCCUUCACAUCUUUCUUGGAAUCUCAUAUUGGUAGUAAUCCCUCAUGGGGAUGGAAGAGCAUCAUGUCGGGAAGAAGGGUGAUUGAAAAAGGGGUAAGAUGGCAAGUCAGCAAUUGGCAAUCUGUUUUAUGCAAAGUGGAUAAUUGGGUGCCCAACUGCUUCCCCAAUCCACCAAAGGUUAAACCACAACAUGAUGAGAGUGUAGUUUGGGUGAAACAGCUUAUGAAUGACAGUGAGCCUUCAUGGGACAUCCACCAGCUAAAAGAGAAUUUCGUGGAGGAAGAUGUUAACAACAUCCUAGUGAUCCCAAUUGUAAUCUUUAGAAGGGAUGAUCAGAUAACUUGGCACUUCACAAGGCAUGGGAAGUUUGUG